UACAGAGGGUGCAAACGUUGCUCGGAAUUACUGGGCGUAAAGGGCGUGUAGGCGGGAAGGCAAGUCGGGCGUGAAAGCCCCAGGCUCAACCUGGGAACUGCACUCGAAACUGCCUUUCUUGAGUGCCGGAGAGGAAAGCGGAAUUCCUGGUGUAGAGGUGAAAUUCGUAGAUAUCAGGAGGAACACCAGUGGCGAAGGCGGCUUUCUGGACGGUAACUGACGCUGAGACGCGAAAGCGUGGGGAGCAAACAGG
rnacentral:rRNA from 1 species